rnacentral:rRNA from 1 species
UCUCCAGACUCCUACGGGAGGCAGCAGUGGGGAAUAUUGCACAAUGGGGGAAACCCUGAUGCAGCGACGCCGCGUGAGUGAAGAAGUAAUUCGUUCUGUAAAGCUCUAUCAGCAGGGAAGAAAAUGACGGUACCUGAGUAAGAAGCCCCGGCUAACUACGUGCCAGCAGCCGCGGUAAUACGUAGGGGGCAAGCGUUAUCCGGAUUUACUGGGUGUAAAGGGAGCGUAGACGGCAGUGCAAGUCUGAAGUGAAAGGCGGGGGCCCAACCCCCGGACUGCUUUGGAAACUGUAUGGCUGGAGUGCAGGAGAGGUAAGUGGAAUUCCUAGUGUAGCGGUGAAAUGCGUAGAUAUACGGAGGAACACCAGUGGCGAAGGCGGAUUGCUGGACAGUAACUGACGCUGAGGCGCGAAAGCGUGGGGAGCAAACAGGAUUAGAUACCCGGGUA